AAAACUUUUUUUUCAUAACAAUUGCCUAAUUAAAGAACAAAAAGAGACAUUGCCUGAAACAGAGAUAGAAGAGAGAGAGCUCACCGCUGAAAUUCUAAGUUCGUCACCGUCACCAUCGGCAUCGCCGUUGCAGUUCCAAAGGCUUCUGGAAUCGAGCAAAGGCUCCUCUUCCGCCUCUGAGAUUGAGAGAAAGGCAUCUCCUCCGCGAACGAUUCUUUGGACUUGAUUUUCAUCUGAUCCGCCUCAGAUCCGUAUCGCAGUUCGUCUCAGAUCUAUGCGCCAAAGUCUUCCAGCCACCGUUGCUGCUCUUGUCGCAACACCGCACCUCUGCCGCUCGCACCGCCUCCGUUCUUGCUCGUAGACGCACAAGAUCGUCGCCGCGGCAAACCAAAAAGUUUCAAAGGCUGUUUUGUUGAAGGACUUGUAUAUGGAAAUUAAGAGAAUGAAAGAAGAUGUGCGGGCUGCUAGGGAAAAGAAUGGUGUAUACAUUUCUCACGAAAGAUUUGCCAAGGAAGAAGCUGAAAAGAAGGCAAAAGAUGAGAGGAUAGAGCAAAUAGAGAAUGAUCUCAGCCUUAGUCAAAAGGUAUUCCGUGGAGUAUAUCAGGUUGACAUUUUGCUAUUCAGAUUAAGAGUAUCUUGUCUCAAAUUAAACUACCGCUUCAGGAAAAAUUAGAAAAAACUAGCAACUCCUUGCGAGAUCUCCAAGAGAACUACAGAAUGGUAGUUUCAACAUUGAAGGAGAAGGAAUAUACAAUUUCCAAGCUAUUGAAAUCAGGUUUAUCAAUUGUCGCAUGCUGGCACAUUUGUGCUGUUUUUGUUCAGUAUAUAUGAUUUGCUUUAUUUUAUCUCUAACAGAAAAUGCCUUAGUCGUGCGUGCGAAGGAAAUGUGUACUGAUCUGCAGAUCGCAUAAGAUCAUAUUGAUUCACUAUCCUCAAAAUUAGGUAUGAUUUACUUUGCUCUGAACUUUGAUGACCACCAUAAGAAAUAGGUACUCUUCAUUUUUGCUGUCGCAUUCGCCUUUCAUUGACUCCAUUGUUGUAGCUACAUAAUUUUAUUGAAGGGCUCUUUACUUUCCUCAUAAAGAGUAGUGGUUGUGUUUGGUUUCUUCUUAAGGACAAAGCCCUAAUACAGAGGGUGGUAGGACAAACCUAUUGGAAACUGUUCGGACUUCAGACUCUAUUCCCUUUAUUUUUUUUGGAAACUGUUUUAAGUUUUUGAAAAUGUUUACUUUACUAAAACUUGUGACUAAUCUAGUGGAGUUAAAGAGUGUUAACUGCUUGUUGCUACACUUAGUCAAAAUCACAACUUCCUUUGCUGAAAUCCAGCAGAAGGAUCUUUGCUUUAGGUAAAUCUUCAGUACCUUUCCAAUUUUUAAUGCAUUUGUUUUAUUGAAAUAUUUUAUUUAUUUUAUUUUAUUUUUGAUAAAAUUGUUAUAAAUUUUGCUUAUUUGAAGAUUGUGAUAUUUUCUUUCAUGUAGAGCGAAAUUUGGUGAAUCUUCUCUCUUGGAGGAGAUUUUUUCUAUGCUUUAUUGCAUGGCAAUCGUGAGGUGAGAUACAAGGGGCAUAUCAAAUAAAAAUUACUACAACUGCCCUGAUUUUGUUGCUAGCCAGUAGGCACAAUGAAUUGACAAGAGUAAAUAUACUAGGCCAUCUAAUUAAGUCUAAUGUGAGAAUAACGACAAGAUCAAAAGCUAAAUCAGCUUCAAAUCAAUGGGUAAUGUUGCCAUUUUCUACAAAGAGGAAGGAGCACUUUGAUGAAUGUUGAUGAUGUAAUUAUUGAAACAAGUCUUGGCAGAUCUAUCUAGACUAUGACGACAGAGGAAAGAGAGAAAAGAGGGAUUGGUUUAUAGCCUAACUUGAUGUAAUAUAGUUAUAGGCUUAUAGCAUUUUUGUUGUUUAAAUUUGUAACAUGAUUUAUUAUUUUUCAAGAGAAUUUUGUAUAUCAAUAUUUUGAGUUUAAUGAA